CCUCUUCUGGAGAGAGGCAAGCAGCUAUCGGAGGGGGAGCCAGGCAGCAGGGCAGGCAAGCUCGUCUCGGGAUCUGGCCGACGUGGAGAGGGAGGACCCAGAUCCCCACUACUCUCGAUCGCUGUGCCCAGCCGUCCCUUCUCGCCAUGUCCCACAGUAGGCAUCGCACCGAGGCCCCGCCGCUGGAGCGCGAGGACAGCGGGACCUUCAGUUUGGGCAAGAUGAUAACAGCCAAGCCUGGGAAAACACCGAUUCAGGUAUUGCACGAAUACGGCAUGAAGACCAAGAACAUCCCAGUUUAUGAAUGUGAAAGAUCCGAUGUGCAAAUACACGUGCCCACUUUCACCUUCAGAGUAACCGUUGGUGACAUAACCUGCACAGGUGAAGGGACCAGUAAGAAGCUGGCGAAGCACAGAGCUGCAGAGGCUGCCAUCAACAUUUUGAAAGCCAACGCAAGUAUCUGUUUUGCAGUUCCUGACCCCUUAAUGCCUGAUCCAUCCAAACAGCCAAAGAACCAGCUGAAUCCAAUCGGCUCGUUACAGGAACUGGCUAUUCACCACGGCUGGCGACUUCCUGAAUAUACCCUUUCCCAGGAAGGAGGCCCUGCUCAUAAGAGAGAAUACACCACUAUUUGCCGGCUAGAGUCAUUCAUGGAAACAGGAAAGGGAGCAUCCAAAAAACAAGCCAAGAGAAAUGCUGCUGAGAAAUUUCUUGCCAAAUUUAGUAAUAUUUCUCCAGAGAACCACAUUUCUCUAACGAAUAUGGUUGGACAUUCCCUAGGAUGUACUUGGCAUUCUUUGAGGAAUUCCCCUGGUGAAAAGAUCAACUUACUAAAAAGAAGCCUCCUCAGUCUCCCGAACACAGACUACAUCCAGCUGCUGAGUGAGAUUGCCAAGGAGCAAGGCUUUACCAUAACGUAUCUGGACAUAGAGGAACUGAGUGCCAAUGGACAGUAUCAGUGUCUUGCAGAACUGUCCACCAGUCCUAUCACCGUGUGUCAUGGCUCAGGCAUCUCCUGCAGCAAUGCACAGAGUGACGCCGCGCACAAUGCUCUGCAGUAUUUAAAGAUAAUAGCAGAAAGGAAGUAGGAGCGGGUAGCUGAGCUCUGCAGCUGAGCUCUCCAGCCGCGCCUCCGUCCCUCUCGCACCUCUUCCCAGUGGCACAUUUACUGCGAUACACGUUGAGUCCUGUCCUGUCCAUGUCUCUUCCGGGUCCGUCGGCCUUCCAGAUCCAAUUGUCUCCUGGUAGUUGCUGUUCAGCUCUUUUUAAUGGCUUCAACUUUGUACUGGUGAAUGCUCUGAUGGACAUUUUCGUGCGGAUGGCUUGUUAUCUGCAUGCCGCUAGCUUACUGCAGAAAUUCAAAGGUAAAAUCCUGUAGCUGAAGGACGAUCCACAGGUAUCUGUGGGCAUCACUGCUUGAUUUUUUUCCCCCCUAAGCCUGUGCAACAUUGUGUUUUUCCUUGACACAAAUAUUUGUUGGUGAGUUAGUGGUUUGAAAAAGUAUUACUACAGAAAUGAUGACAACAGAAACGUUUUCCAAUUCAUUCAAUUCUUUUACCAGAAUAUUUCAAAGACUUGGCUUGAUUUAGAGGUUAGAAAAAGAGCAGGAGAUGGCUCAGUGGGUCAAGGGGAUUGCUGCUAACCUUGACAGCUUGCUGAUUCUCAGAACCACAUGGAGGAAGGAGAGAGUUGACUCCCACGCGUGGUUCUCUGACCUCCACAGGUGUGCUAUGACACACGCAUACACACAAUCAAUCAAUACAUAAAUGUCAAAAUACAUCCAUUUGAAAAGCUGUGGGGAAAGACUGGAAAGGGUUAGAUUCUUAAAUGCACGAUGACCUAGUUCCUUCUGGGAGCAUGGCUGAUAUUCUAUGAGACUUCUCCAUGCUUGUCCUAGCUGGAGACAGCCACCAAUCAGUCAUCCUUUCUAGGCAGCCUGCGUUCAAAGAGUCACCGUACUGCCCACAUUGGGAUGAUCAUAAUCUCAUCUCAGUUCCAGAGUUCCCCAUACGCGGGGACAGUUUACUCUGUCUUGUGGGUAUUUUGUGGGUGGUUUGGAUUUGAAUUUGUUUUUUUUUUUUUUAAACAGGGUCACUACAUAGCCCUAGCGGUCCUGGAACUCACUAUGUAGAUCAAACUGACUUUGAACUCCAGAGAUCCUCCUGUCUCUGCCUCCCAAGUGCUAGAAUUAAAGGCCUGUGCCACUACCCCGGCUAGAGGCUGCCUUUGUGUUUGUGCUAUCCCCACUUCUCCCUCUGCUUCACAGGCCUUCCUUUCCUGCCAGAGCUAGCAGCCCCUAAUCUAUCCUCUGAUUUCAACUCCAUUUGCUUCUCCGGAAGCCCAUGCUGUGAUGCUUGAAGAAGUGGCAUAAGAAAGGAGAGUCAGUGGGAUUUUGCACCUCCUUCUGCCUCCUGGCUUACAGGAUGUGAGCCCCACUCGGUGAUGGAAAACAGAGCCCACAGCCCCUAGGAUGCUGGGGUAGCGCAUUUAUUACAACUUUAGACAGUAAGCUGAGCUGCCCAGCUUCUGUUUCAGAUGACUGAGAAAUAUAGAAGCAACCAGCACUUAAGGAUGGAAGAAUUGGCCAGCUAUUGCUAAUCGCUGUUGCAGCCUUGAAAAAUAUGGCCAAAUACGGGUGAUUUAAUGGCUGAGUCAACAUCCCUAACCAAAGGAUAAAAGAGUUGCUUUAGCUCAGGGUUUGAGAGAGUUUAGUUUCAUACAUUAGAACAUUUGGACCCUUUGCUGUGGACUUGAGAUGAAGCGUGAUGGGGCAGUAGGAGCCGGUAGUACCUGAUGAAGGCCAGGAAGGAGAGAAAAGACAAGUGCCAACCUGCACCCUCAAAGACACAGUCCCGGUGACCCACUUCCUCUGCCUAGGUCCACCUCUCAUUCCCCUCAAUAGUUUACUCAAAUUUUUAACUCAUUAGUACAUUGAAUUAGUACAUUUGGUUAUACCCUUCAUGGCUUCAUUGUCCCUGGGAACCUCAGAUACACCCAGAAGGCUUUACUCACCAAUAUAUUGUUUUCAAUCCAGCGAAGUUGACAAAAACAACCAUCAUAAUUGAUCAUUCAGAGCUCUGUGUGAAAGCCAAAAGGCCUUCCUGGAGGCCUAGGACCAGGCCUAGGACUGAAUGGUAAGAAUGGCAGGAGUUCAAAGAAUUGAAAACUAGCUGGUUAGGUCUGCAGAAGCCAUGACCUCUUUUGGGGGAAAAAUGAUUCCUUGGCCUCUGUGGCAAGACAUAUAUCAUAAUAAAGCCAUGUGGGAGAUUUAGAAACUGAUAACAAGAUAUUAACAAGAACCAGCGUUGCCUUCUAUCGUCUCUGAAGGCGUGUCAUAUGUUUGUGCCUGUGCGAAUGCAUAUAUGUACACAUGCGUGUGGGGGCUCGGGUCCAUGUCAAGUGUUUUCUCUCACUGCUCUCCAUUUUAUGCAUUGACAAUAGGUUUCCCGUCCAGCCUGGAGCUCAUUGGUUCAACCAGGCUGGCUGGCCAGGGAGCCCCUGGAAUGUGCCUGUCGCAGUCACCCCAGCACUGGGGUCACAGACACGGGCUGCCUUGCCACUUGCACUCUAAAUAAAUGAAAACUUCAUAAAAAAAAUGCCUCAAAUAUUUCUCCAAGACUGUUGGAAAACCGCCUUAUUUGUAAGUUCCGAGGAUCUGACUCAUGCAUGCAGGGCAAGUACUUUAAUGGACUGAGCCAUCUCUUCUGUUAAUGACAUCUUGAAAGAAUUCAGGGGGCUGGAGAGUUGGCUCAGUGGUUAAGACCACUGGCUGUUCUUCCCGAGGUCCUGAGUUCAAUUUCCAGCAACCCCGUGGUGGCUCAGAACCAUCUGUAAUGAGAUCUAGUGCCCUCUUCUGGUGUGUGGGCACACA